CAACUUUCCCCAAAGCAGCCAAAGCUGACUCGGUCAGAUGAAGAGAAUUUAAGUCCCCUUGGAUUUUGAAACCCAGAGCUCUAGAUUCACAGGAAACACACAGGAAGACUUGUGGCUGAAGGUUUAUGCAACAUACAUGAAACUUCUCCUCAACUCCAGCAAGACCACAUCAAGAUAUUUGUCCUUAAAACAGAGUAAAUUUCAUAAAUGAAAUUCAGCAAAGAAAUAUAUCUAAAAAUCUAGAACGUGCAUUAUAGUAUAUGUUCAUUGAUUAGAGUUAAAAACUACUGUACUGACCUUUAGUGGACCAGUUGAAUUCAGCAUGAUAAAUCCACAUGAUGUGAUGCUUCAAUGCUCUGAAAUAAUAUUUAAAUAUGUAACACAUUUGCAAGACGCUGAGUGAAGAACUUUCUGCAGCACUCAUCACCCCCAGACAGUGAAGGAACCACUGUGAAAAGGUCUACCCCACCCUGGAACCCACUCUACUCAUCUCUGGGUUUUAGCCUGCACCCUUCACCACACCCUGCACCCUUCACCACACCGCUGUGGGGACAUUGUCUUUUACUUCUUCCUCUGCUUUUAGUAUCUGCUCUCUUAAGGGUCUCAAGGUUUUAAAGAAAUAAAUACUUACACAUUCUGUUUGGAGAACCCCCGAUUUUGAGUAUCAGACUAAAUAAAUGCUAAUUUCUUCUUUGGGAAUGUUUUUCAAAGGAUAUCAAGAAACCGUAGCCAGCACAAAUAUAGAACAGAAAAGGACUUGCAGAUAUCUACUAUCUCCUUCCCCCAGUUCCAGCCCCCGGACACAGCUCAUUAUAUUUCCCUCUGUUCUCUUCAGUCCUUUGUGUGGUCACUCUUUGGUCCCUCUGUACUCCUCAUUGUGGCCACUUAGUGAAAUCAGCCACUGUCAUGACUCAGGUUCAGGUCAGGGUCUGUGUUCCAUUGGCUGUUGGACCUCCAGCCCUCACCCCAGAAAGAGAAGCUGAAAUCCCACCUCCUCUGCCCGCCUCAGGAAGGCAGCUCCUCCUCCUGCUGCCUUGGCCAAGUUGCAGUCCACCCUUGGUAGGACCAGUGAAGACCUUUGCAUGUCAUUGGUUUUGCAGAUCUCAGAAUCAAAGCCAAGGUCUUCUAUAUGUGCAUGUUUGUUUCUGGACUUGCUUGAUUCAAGAAUGAACCGUCACACCUGGCCACAGAACACUUCAACACUACACGUUCUGCAAAGAAUUCAUCGAUUAAUUUCCAAAAAGUAGAUUCCAUAUUCUUACCUCCAAAAAGAGUGUUCCAAUGAUGAGUCCCGGAAUGCAGUGGAUCCUGAAACUUAGACUGACAUCUUUGCUUCUUGGUAACUCUGGUUGCAUUUUCAAAUCACAGGAAACAUCCAGGUGAGGACAGCAGCAGCUUCAGACCCUUGUGUGUGAGUCUAGUCAGUGGGGAAAUGUGGCUGAAGAAACAGCAUUCUAGGACGACGUGUCCCAACACUGUCAUCUGUCUUCACCACUAGAUACCCACAGAUGGUGUUAUACUUGUAUGGAAACCCUAGAGGAUGUUAUAUAUCAGAGAAAACUCACUACACUGCUGGCCUUUGAGAAGGAAUUGAAAAUGCACGUGCAGCAAUGUCAAUGACCAUGGUUAGUUAAGCAGCAGCUCUCUGUACUAAUAAAUGUCUGGAAAUUAAUAGCCAUCACUUUGAGCACCUCCUGUAAUUGUAAAGGCCAAAGGUAACUUGUAUUAAUCUUAUUA